GACGGAGGGUGCUAGCGUUGUUCGGAAUGACUGGGCGUAAAGGGUGCGUAGGCGGUUUUGUAAGUCAGAUGUGAAAUCCCCGGGCUUAACCCUGGAAUGGCAUAUGAUACUGUGAGACUAGAGACUGGAAGAGGAAAGCGGAAUUCCUAGUGUAGAGGUGAAAUUCGUAGAUAUUAGGAGGAACACCAGAGGCGAAGGCGGCUUUCUGGUCCAGAUCUGACGCUGAGGCACGAAAGCGUGGGGAGCAAACAGG
rnacentral:rRNA from 1 species